rnacentral:lncRNA from 1 species
CCUUUCCCUCCUCUCCAUCUCCCAUUGCAUUGUGUCUGACUGAUUUUCAGAGCACCUUCGCUGUUUCCCCCUUCUCUUUCCCUUUCUGUAAAAUAUCUAGACAGGAAGGAGGUGGCUGCAGAGGCUGAACAAACAAUCUCAUAUUCUGCCUGCAAUGUCAUCGUUUCUUUCCCCCAUUUUAGGGGGCUGAAGUUGCCCAGGAAGGGGAUGCAGAGGAGCUGGAAAGGAAGGGGGGAGCUCUCCAGUGGCAGCUGCGGUCAGGGGCAGGGACUGCCGCCAGAUGUGCCUGCCUCUCUGGACUUUGAUGCGAAAGGGGCAGCAGGAGGAAAUAUUGGGAGACAAAAGCCCCGGUUUAAAUGAUCAUUUUCUUUAUUUAACAUGGCAGCAGACACUCUGCGUAAGAUCAUCAUGCCGAACAUAAACUGGACUUUCCCACUUGCCUGGCAGGAGUGAGACAGAUCACUGUGUGCUAAAUGAGCAUCUGAGGAAGAUUAUCCCUGAGCUAACUGCUGCUGCCAAUCCUCCUCUUUUUGCCAAGGAAGACUGGCCCUGAGCUAACAUCCGUGCCCAUCUUACUCUACUUUCUAUGUGGGAUGCCUACCACAGCAUGGCUUGCCAAGUGGUGCCAUGUCUGCACCCCAGAUCUGAACUGGUGAACCCUGGGCCACUGAAGCGGAACAUGCACACUUGACCGCUGCGUCACCGGGCCUGCCCCAAGAAUCUUUUGUUAUUGUCACUCAUAUCGUAUGAAAAGAAAGAAAAUUCAUGUUGCCUGUUGUCAUCAUAAUUUGAAUUUCUGACCUCACCUCAUAAAAUCAGAAGUAGAAGAGUAAAGAAGAUGACUUUGAUGUCCUUGGCCUCUGCACCCCUGUGGAAUCCAGUUCAUCUCCAAUCCGUCAGAAAGCAUCAGAGGUGGUUUUGAUUCCUUAUGUCCUGAGCCUGUGCACAAAAUGUGUGAGUGAUAAAUGCAAUGGUCAAAACGAUUUCACUAAAGGGAAGACAGGAGAUCGUGCAGAGGGUCAUACAUUGGAUGUGCAACAGUGGAUCAUGAGGCCAAGGUGCUUGGGUAAUACCUUGUGUGAAGGAAAAUGAGAUCCCGAGUGAAGUCUACAAUGUCAUUGACUCUGAAGAAGGACUCAGAGACCCAUUGGUGUUUAAUGACCCUUACUGGCCUAUGCAAUGGGAACUGAUUCUGAGUGUGCCUUGACAUCAGUAGCAGAGGAUGUGAGCAAAGCAACUUUCAGAGCAUCAGAUGUGAGCAAAGCAACUUCCAGAGCAUCAGAUGUGAGCAAAGCAACUUUCAGAGCAUCAGAAGUGUCAGCAGAAGGAAAAUCAGCACAAGUAGAAAGUAUCAAGGCACUGUUCUGAGUGUUGAGGAAAACAUAGGCGAGCAAGAGAGGCAUGGUGCUGUUCCUCAGGAAACUUGCAGGCAGGCAUAUCUGGAAAAUUAUAUAAUGUUGAAUUGCAGGAAGAUGAAGACAAACUGAUGCCUACUUUGAAAUAAGCUCAACUUUCCUACAUAAUUAAGAAUUUACAGCCUGGGCAAUGCCAAGAUCCACAGCUGCACUAAAAUCAAUUAUCUGCGUUUGGUGUGGACACUUUGAAAACAUGUCAAGCUCCUGACCCUCUUAGGCCUGCCCUUCCACGCGGUACCCCUGUGCUCUGAGCAUGAGGUGAGCGGGAUGUGGACGUUCCCACAGCAGGAAGAUUAGCCCUGAGCUAACUGCUGCCAAUCCUCCUCUUUUUGCUGAGGAAGACUGGCCCUGAGCUAACAUCCAUGCCCAUCUUCCUCCACGUUAUAUGUAGGACACCUACCACAGCAUGGCGUGACAAGUGGCGCCAUGUCUGCACCCGGGAUGCGAACCGGCAAACCCCGGGCCGCCGAAAUGGAAUGUGCACACCUAACCGCUGCACCAUCGGGCCGGUACCUACAUUACAUAUUUUGAACUGCUCAAAAACGACAGAAAAUUUGGCUCAUGCAUCGUACCUAUGUGAAAUGAAAUACAGAAGAAAAGAAAAAGAAAUUUAGGCGGCCCAGUGUUUCCUGGGUUCGAAUCCUGGGCGCAGACAUGGCACUGCUCAUCAAACCAUGCUGAGGCGGCGUCCCACAUGCCACAACUAGAAGGACUCACAACGAAGAAUAUACAACUAUGUACUGGGGAGUUUUGGGGAGAAAAAG